CUUCAAAUCGCAGUGGAUGCAGCACAUGGUAUAGAAUAGCUGACAUAUAAGAUAAAUAUAUAUGUUAAAGAGUUUGUUUCUUUGGUUCCCCUAUAUAUAUUCAUCAUGUAGUUCUAAAUCAUGAUCAUGUUGAAAUUUGAUGUACAUUAGUACAAGGCAUCGAUUAGGCUUUUAAAUGGCAGAUGAUAUUUUGCAGGACUGGAUUAUCUACACAAUGAUUGCAAGCCUCCCAUAAUCCACAGAGAUAUAAAGACCUCCAAUAUAUUGUUAACUGAAAAGACGCAAGCCAAGAUAUGUGAUUUUGGUGUUUCCAAACUUCUUUCAACUGAAACGGCCACUCAUACCAUGACAGAUCACGUCAGAGGAACUCGCGGAUACUUUGAUCCUGAGUAAGUUAGUAAAGACAUAUAUUAGACAUAUAAGUUGCUCUAAAUUGCUGAUAGAUAAGCAUAACUUACAUUCUUCGAUUUUCUUCUUUUCAUUUCAUUAUGUUCAGAUACUACACCACAGGAAAGCUGAACAAAAAGAGUGAUAUAUACAGCUUUGGGGUUGUGUUGCUAGAGCUGAUCACCGGAAGAACAGCAAUAAUAACAGAUGUAGAACCCGAACCUGUUCACAUUUGUCAAUGGGUGAGGCCUAUGUUUCAGAGAAGAGAUAUUGAAAGCAUAUUGGAUUCAAGGAUACAAGCAGGGACUUACACUGUUUCCUCUGCUUGGAAGGCGGUAGAAAUCGCCAUGGAAUGUGUGUCCUCAACAGCUACCGAAAGACCAGAUAUCACUGUCGUGUAUAAGGAAUUGAAGGAAUGUUUGGAAAUUGAGGUUCCAC
rnacentral:lncRNA from 1 species